GAUGAACGCUGGCGGCGUGCCUAAUACAUGCAAGUCGAGCGAACGGACGAGAAGCUUGCUUCUCUGAUGUUAGCGGCGGACGGGUGAGUAACACGUGGAUAACCUACCUAUAAGACUGGGAUAACUUCGGGAAACCGGAGCUAAUACCGGAUAAUAUUUUGAACCGCAUGGUUCAAAGGUGAAAGACGGUCUUGCUGUCACUUAUAGAUGGAUCCGCGCUGCAUUAGCUAGUUGGUAAGGUAGCGGCUUACCAAGGCAACGAUGCAUAGCCGACCUGAGAGGGUGAUCGGCCACACUGGAACUGAGACACGGUCCAGACUCCUACGGGAGGCAGCAGUAGGGAAUCUUCCGCAAUGGGCGAAAGCCUGACGGAGCAACGCCGCGUGAGUGAUGAAGGUCUUCGGAUCGUAAAACUCUGUUAUUAGGGAAGAACAUAUGUGUAAGUAACUGUGCACAUCUUGACGGUACCUAAUCAGAAAGCCACGGCUAACUACGUG
rnacentral:rRNA from 1 species